rnacentral:rRNA from 1 species
ACGCUAAUACCGCAUAUUCUGUGAGCAGGAAAGCAGGGGAUCGCAAGACCUUGCGCUGAUUGAGCGGCCGAUGUCAGAUUAGCUAGUUGGUGAGGUAAAGGCUCACCAAGGCGACGAUCUGUAGCGGGGUCUGAGAGGAUGAUCCGCCACACUGGAACUGAGACACGGUCCAGACUCCUACGGGAGGCAGCAGUGGGGAAUUUUGGACAAUGGGGGCAACCCUGAUCCAGCCAUUCCGCGUGAGUGAAGAAGGCCCUUCGGGUUGUAAAAGCUCUUUCAGCAGGAACGAGACGGUGGCCACUAAUACUGGCUACUAAUGACGGUACCUGAAGAAGAAGCACCGGCUAACUACGUG